AUUGAACGCUGGCGGCAUGCCUUACACAUGCAAGUCGAACGGUAACAGGUCUUCGGAUGCUGACGAGUGGCGAACGGGUGAGUAAUACAUCGGAACGUGCCCGAUCGUGGGGGAUAACGAGGCGAAAGCUUUGCUAAUACCGCAUACGAUCUACGGAUGAAAGCAGGGGACCGCAAGGCCUUGCGCGAACGGAGCGGCCGAUGGCAGAUUAGGUAGUUGGUGGGAUAAAAGCUUACCAAGCCGACGAUCUGUAGCUGGUCUGAGAGGACGACCAGCCACACUGGGACUGAGACACGGCCCAGACUCCUACGGGAGGCAGCAGUGGGGAAUUUUGGACAAUGGGCGAAAGCCUGAUCCAGCCAUGCCGCGUGCAGGAUGAAGGCCUUCGGGUUGUAAACUGCUUUUGUACGGAACGAAAAGACUCUGGUUAAUACCUGGGGUCCAUGACGGUACCGUAAGAAUAAGCACCGGCUAACUACGUG
rnacentral:rRNA from 1 species